CUAGGUAGGGGAUCGGGACUCUGGCGGGAGGGUGGCUCGGCGCGUUUGCGGGGACGGGCGGCCGCGGCGGGCCCUCCGAGCGUGGUGGGGCCGCUCUGUGGGGCAGCCGGAUUGUUCCUUGAGGACAGACAGGACAGUGCUUGUUUAAGGCUAUAUUUCUGCUGUCUGAGCAGCAACAGGUCUUCGAGAUCAACAUGGUUUUCAUAAUCCCAAGAUGUUGCCUUUUAUGUUCUCAGAAGCAAGCAGAAGCACAAUGGAGGGUCUCUUCCUUCAUCUUGAUCUGAAGGAUGAACAAAGGCUUGAGCAGUGCGCUUUAGAAGAUAAACUGCAGCAUGAAGGCCCCCGAUGUUCACCCAGACUGUAUGGACCUUUUGCCACACAUGUCCCAUUCCAGAUAAGGCCUGGCACACACAAAA
rnacentral:lncRNA from 1 species